AGAAAAAAGAAUAUUAUAUGAGACGGUUAAAAUUACAGUUGUAUACAAAUGGAAAUAAAGCUACUCGUUUAGUAGCAAAUAAAUUAAAGGACCACUAUAGGCACCCAGACCACUUCAGCUCAAUGAAGUGGUCUAAGUGCCAAGUCCAUCUAGUGUUAACCCUGCUGCUGUAAACAUAGUUUCAGAGAAACUGUAUGUUUACACUAGGGUUAAUCCAGCCUCUAGUGGCUGUCUCACUGACCGCCGCUAGAGGCACUUCCGCACUUCUCACUGUGAAAAUCACAGUGAGAAGACGCUGACGUCC